UAGAAGUAACUAGUAAUGUAACUAAGUUACUAAUUUAAAGUAACUUACCCAACACUGCAAAUAAUAUAUCCUUAUUACAAAUGACCUUAACUUAAAGAGCCAGCAACGCCGUUCUACCAAUAACGCCAAAGGAACAAAGGAACAAUCACAGCAACAAAAGAAAAAUGACCAAACAAAUAAGGGAGCCAUUUCCCACUUCUCACACUUCAUAUUUCACUUCCCACCACGGGGAGACACUUCCAGGGCCCACAAGCCCAUCUACUCACUACUCAAAUGAGGCUGCGUGUCUAAAACCUAGCAGAAACCCAUGUAGAGCCACAGAGGGGAAAAACCACCUCACUCACAGCGCAUCCCCAGCUUAAAUAGCCUCAGAGGUGAUUGCUGACUGGGCCCAGGUGGGAAACGAGGCUAAUCAAAAGCAUCUAUCCUGGGGAGAGAGAGGAGAGUGAGAGAGACAGAGGGGGUAGGAGUGGCAAGAGAGGAGGAGGCAGACAGAGCGGGCAAACACCCCACCCACACACUCCCACAGCCCCAACCUAUGGCCCCAACUUGUGGCCAUAGGUUAGGGUAGCAACAUAGAACUCAGCUCUCUCCUUUGGAUCAAUUGGAUCCCAGCUACACUUCACUUUCUUCUCUCCCUAUCUUGCUCUUUUUUUCUCUUGUAGUGUGCACUCUGGUAAAUGAUUUUAUGUUUUAAGGCUUUAAUUGGCUUUUAGACGGCAUGACACACUGUGCUCUUACAUGCCUUAUAGAUUUUUUAAUUCAUUUUAAACAGCAGUUUUCAUGGCGUCUCUGUGUAGUUAGUGUUGUCUCCAAACUGAAACUGUCUGUAGUCACAAAGUUAAAUGUCCAUUGGACAUAUAACUUUAACUGUAGGGUGGUGUACUGAAAGGGACAAACCUAAAAAAAGAAUAGACAAUAAGAAAAUCCCUUUCAUUGGAGGUUUUGCUACAACCACACAGUCAAGCUUUGAAUUACGCUGUUCAAAGCUAAAAAUGUGGAUCUGAAAAACCCUUCGAUGAUAACUCCUAUUUGGUGAAGAAAUAGGUCAAAGUUCAAGGUCCGGCCUACUUUGAACAACAUGUAGUCAUUGAGCUAAAAUGAGUACAUGCAUGGAUUGCACAUCAGCCACAAUUUAUCAAUCUAGCCGAGAGCGUGAUAACACGUAAGAGGUGAUGAUGGCAGCAUGUGGCCAGUCCGAAGAAAGGAGAAGAAAACAACAAAGUGAACAUAUAAAGACAUGAAGAACACAUCAUGGGCGUGUUUGUGUCACUGUACAUCAUUUCCUCAGAAUAGCCUGCUCAAUUUCCACAUUUCCUCUUUUUGUGACAAACUACAGUAUAUAAGAUCACACAAGUGUCAGACUAACAAACUUGCUUAGAGCACUGAUCCAGAGUCAGAUUUGGCGCCUUUCAGCUCGUGAAGAUGUGUCCGACUCUCUCCAUCAGCCGCUGGAUUUUCCUGCUCUGUCUGCCUGUCGUGAUGCUCGUCGCUGUGCAGAAAGGUACAGCUCUUCUUUUAAUGGGGUUUGCAGCGUUUUCGGUAUCAAGAAAGAAACACUAUCAAUAUUCUAGUUCAAACUUAAAUCCAACCAGAGAGAUGUUUAAUGUUUUGUUUCGACAGUUUUAUUAUGAGUGCAAACAUCCUCAACAGAGCAAUUCAAUCUGUAAAUGUACUUUUAGAGGUUAAAUCUCACGUUUUUCAGCGAGUGAGAUCCUCUUAAGAGAAACCUGAUGCCUGUUUGCUUAGUUGUAAUAAUUUUUCAUUGGAUAACGGAAGCUAGGGGUCAUGUAAAGGAUCUGGAGCCCACUUUCUUUUUCUUUUAAGCAAAUUUCUUGAAUGAAGUGAAUCAUUUAAUGUCAAAAUUAAUAGAAAAUUAUCAGUGUCUUUCAGUAACAUAUAACACUUAUGUCAUGUCAUGUUGAUUAAGCUCAUUGUGGUUCUCUUUUCGUGCAGCCCGUUCCUCACCUGAAAGUUUGGGUUUGCCGUGCUGCCACAAGGUCAUCACCCAGGAAGUGAAGACAAUCCAAAGCUGCUUUGAACAAAAACCACGCUAUGGCUGCAGGCAACACGCCUUCCUGAUCAUCAACAAGCGGCAUAAAAAUAACAUAUGGUGCAUUGAUCCAAAUUCUGAGUGGCUCAAAGACAAAAUAGAGAAGGGAGAACUGAAAUGUCCUCCAGUGAUAAGUGUAUGAAGCAACAAUGAGACCACAAAAACAUCAGAGCAAAGAAGCUGCUGACAACAUUUUGUACUUAUUUAAUUUUAAUUCUUUGUACAGAUCUAUUUAUUUAUUAUGUAAGUUAUUAUUUUAACCUUUAAGCCAUCAACAUCAUUACUAAUUUGUUGUAGAUGACAGUAAUAAAAGUUGUUCUUUGUGACUCUAAAUAAAUAUGGAUCAUGUUUAAAGUAAAAUCUAAUGCAGUUUGGU